rnacentral:rRNA from 1 species
GACGAACGCUGGCGGCGUGCUUAACACAUGCAAGUCGAGCGGAGCGGCGAACGGGUGAGUAACGCGUGAGUAACUGACCCCCCCCCUGUGAUAACAGUUGGAAACGGCUGCUAAUACCGGAUCGUGGGGGAUGACUCGGGUCCGAUCGGUUUGUUGGUGGGGUAGUGGCCUGCCAAGGCGACGACGGGUAGCCGGCCUGAGAGGGGGCCCGGCCACAAUGGGCUGAUAUACGGCCCAGAGUCCUACGGGAGGCAGCAGAGGGGAAGAUUGCACAAUGGGGGAAACCCUUGUGCAGCAGCGCCGGGUGCGGGAGUACGGCCUUCGGGUUGUAAACCGCUUUCAGCCAUGACGCGGUAGUGGCAGAAGAAGCACCGGCUAACUACGUGCCAGCAGCCGCGGUAAUUC